GUAGGUGAACCUGCGGAAGGAUCAUUAUUGAAUUCAAAUCAUCUGUGGCUUCGGUCCAGAUGUGCCAACAGGUAACACUGUUGGUAAUUCUAUCCAUAACACCUGUGAACUGUUGGAUGCUUGCAUCCACUUUUAUACUAAACAUUAUUGUAACAAAUGUAGUCUUAUUAUAACUAAUAAAACUUUUAACAACGGAUCUCUUGGCUCUC
rnacentral:misc_RNA from 1 species